AUUGAACGCUGGCGGCAGGCUUAACACAUGCAAGUCGAACGAGUGGAGGACGGGUGAGUAGUGCUUGGGAAUCUAGCUUAUGGCGGGGGAUAACUACGAGAAACUGUAGCUAAUACCGCGUAACAUAGGAUGAGCCCAAGUGGGAUUAGGUAGUUGGUGAGGUAAAGGCUCACCAAGCCGACGAUCUCUAGCUGGUCUGAGAGGAUGACCAGCCACACUGGGACUGAGACACGGCCCAGACUCCUACGGGAGGCAGCAGUGGGGAAUAUUGCGCAAUGGAGUAAACCUGACGCAGCCAUGCCGCGUGAAUGAAGAAGGCCUUCGGGUUGUAAAGUUCUGUCGGUAGCGAGGCGUUAUCUACAGAAGAAGCACCGGCUAACUCCGUGCCAGCAGCCGCGGUAAUUC
rnacentral:rRNA from 1 species